ACAGGGGUGACCCCCCAGGACCGUGGGGACUAUACCCUCGUCUUCCAGGCCGGCGGGCGCUACUCCGAGGCCUUUGGGCGCCUGCAGGUCUCUGGUUGACCGGAUGGGGCCAGGAUUCACCCCCAACUGGGCCAGCAAGAAUUGGGGAGGGAGUGACCAGUCUCUCCCUCUCCCAUCCCAGUCACCCCCUUCCCCACCCCCACUGAACCUCAAUAAAAGUCUUUGGCAGCUGA